UGAGAGAGUGGGAGAAGUUGAUUCUCCAAGGUGACUUCCAGCUUUAAAUAUUUCUGCAUACAGGUCCGUUUAUUAAAAUGGGCCAUUGUGAACACUCUCGUGAAAGAGAAUAGCCUGAUAUGAAUUAUAUAAAGAGAAAUGAGAAAAAUAGAAAAGAUGAAUAAAGGAUCAAUGCACUGAUUCAAAUAAUGAAAAGUAAGUACCACUGAAAGGGGCUUUAAUAUAAAGGAGAGAAUGCCAAAGGUAAUUUAUGGUUUUUGUAUGCAUGAACUGACAUUCACAUGUACUAUUGAUAUAGGUAUGCAGAUGUAGAAAUCUUUAUCUUUUCUUUUUAUUACAGUCAGAGUGACUCUACACACUUCCUGCUUCCACGUUUAGCAUCCCCAAGUGAAGAGAUAUGAAGAGUGUUCAAAAGAUGCUACAAAAUGUUUAGUUUUCAACUCUCCAGAGGAAGCUGACAUGGCAACACUCUGUUAUUUGAAGAUUUGAGUUUUCCUACUACAAGGUGACAUCUCCCAGAAGCCAUCUCUAACCCUAUUGAUGUAAGUGAGAAUCCUUCCUGGGUACCUGCGGAUCCUGCAGCCCCCUUCAUAACAUGACACUGAUGGUGCCGCUCUGAACUUGGUCCUCUUCAAGAGCCUGGGAUGUCCCAGAGCAGGAAGCACGCGAGAACAUUUGUUUGUUACAUUUAGCUCACCAAAUGGUUUCAUUCAUGCUAAAGGAACUCAGUUUUGUUGUUGGUGUUGCUGUUGUUGUUGUUUGGCAUUUCUUUAAGAUAAGGGAAACUUAGGGAUAAAGAUUGAGUCAGAAAAGUGUUUCUAUUUUCCAAAUUAUAAACAUAUUUACUUAUUCACUCAAGAAAUGAGCACUGAUUUUGCAGGUCACUAUAUUGCCAGAUUGCUGUAUAUAUUUAAAUUGUGGCAGAAAAAUAUGACCAAAAAAUUCCUGAAAUUCAAGUUAUUACUUGAAAUGCAUAUUUAGAGAAAAUCUGAAAAGGCCAAUGUUUAGAAAGAAAUCUACCUAAAAGAAUGGGUUCAAAUGGGGUUAAAACAAAAGCCAGCAUAACUCCCAGAAAAACAUAUGAGUGGUAAAGUUGCCAUUUUUAUUAAAUUUCUUCACUAAUGUAUUGACUAUUAGACGGUAAAAUUUUAAAAAACCAAGAAUUUAAAAAUAUAUAAAUUUUGGAACUUUGAAUUUAUAUUACAUUUUAAAACAGUUCUGGAAUGCAGUUUUUCCUAACUUUGGCUUUGUAUCAAUUUCAAAAUCACCAGUAGUGUUUAUUUGUUUACUGAUACCUGCAGUUCAAACUCUAUAACCACAAUUCUUCAGAAACAAAAUUGCUUCAUAUGGCCCUUCUGAUCAUGGCAUAACAUUGAAAUGCACUUACAGCUCCAAAGACAUAAAAACAUUUCCCCUGUUAUCUCACUUUUCCACCGAGUUCCUCCCUGGCUUACAUAGCUGGCAUUGCAACUGCGUUUUUAUUAAUUUCAGACACAGAAGAACUCAGCAGCCUUCUCUGAUGGGCACAUAUUCUUAAGAAGCCCUGACAGCUGUUGUUUGUAAUAAGAGGCUAGAACCUCUAUGUUUGACUUAUUCUUCCUUUUUAGGUGUCUCUUGCUAGAAUUGUCCAACAGAAUAAUGGAUAUCUAUGGCGAAGUUCCCCCUCAUUUACAUUUUAAGGUAGCAGUGCCAAUUCAUAAACAAUGUUUUUGUGAUAUCAGAUGUGUACAAAAAAAUUAAAGAACAAAUUUGAAGCAAAAUAAAAUCAGUAUUUUUAUGUAAGGUAGCUUUUAAAUUACAAAUUUUAAAAUAAGAUUAUCUCAGUAACUCUAAACAAACAUCUUAAGCUAUUAUAUUUGCAGUUACCUAUAAUUUUAUUCUAAAUAUAUUUAUGAACAUACAUAUUUAGUUAAAAAAAUCUUUCUUCUAGCUGAUUCAACACUUUGGAACAUCUCCCGAGUUUCCCUCAAUACAGCAUGCAUAUAUAAAUUACGUAUAUACAUGCUGUAUUUUUUUAAGGUUUUAGUCUUUUAUUUCAUAACAAUAACUGUGAGGUAAGCAGGUAGCUACAUUUGCGCAUUCCAGCUUAGGUAGCUUCUCAAAUUUCCAGAAGUUAUCUAGGUAUUCAAGUUAAACUCAGCUGAAUGCAAAUGGGCUUCCCUUAUGCUGCAGUUUUAUAGCUUUUUAUCAGUUUGUAGAUAUUGACAGCUUUCUAUCAGUUUGCAAAGUAACUAAAUGGAUUGACUGAAUAAUUUGCUGAAAAAUGAAAGAAUGAAGUUUGAGUUAGCAUAUUAUAAGAAUAUUUAUGUAGGAAAUCUUUUCACAUAUCAAAAAAAAAGUAGACUUGUAAGCCCUCUAAAUAUUUUUCUCAGAUACUAUACAGAUCUUGAAAGUUUUCCACGUUUGCGUAAAUGAUCCAAAAUGAGGUUAAGCAUAGUGUGGUUUCCUUUAUUUCAAAUUACAGCUGCAAGUAAUAAAACUCAAUCACCAUAAACAAUAAUGCAUAGUUUUUUUUUUUUCUCUUCAGAAAGAGUUUUGCUU
rnacentral:lncRNA from 1 species